rnacentral:rRNA from 1 species
GGCUACCAUGCAGUCGAGCGCACUCUUCGGAGUGAGCGGCGGACGGGUUAGUAACGCGUGGGAAUAUACCCUUCACUACGGAAUAGCCUCGGGAAACUGAGAGUAAUACCGUAUACGCCCUUCGGGGGAAAGAUUUAUCGGUGAAGGAUUAGCCCGCGUAAGAUUAGAUAGUUGGUGGGGUAAUGGCCUACCAAGUCUACGAUCUUUAGCUGGUUUGAGAGGAUGAUCAGCAACACUGGGACUGAGACACGGCCCASACUCCUACGGGAGGCAGCAC